rnacentral:rRNA from 1 species
UUGGCCUACGGGGGGCAGCAGUGAGGAAUAUUGGUCAAUGGACGAGAGUCUGAACCAGCCAAGUAGCGUGAAGGAUGACUGCCCUAUGGGUUGUAAACUUCUUUUAUAUGGGAAUAAAGUUUUCCACGUGUGGAAUUUUGUAUGUACUUUAUGAAUAAGGAUCGGCUAACUCCGUGCCAGCAGCCGCGGUAAUACGGAGGAUCCGAGCGUUAUCCGGAUUUAUUGGGUUUAAAGGGAGCGUAGAUGGGUUGUUAAGUCAGUUGCGAAAGUUUGCGGCUCAACCGUAAAAUUGCAAUUGAUACUGG